UGUUGUGUUGUAAUUUGAAUCGCAGAUAUAUUUCCAUUCUAUGUUUGAGUUGCAUAAAUACUUUAGGAUCAGAAAGAGCGAGCUGCAAAGCGACAGUUACCUGCUCCUGCCACAAGCCUUGCCCCUGUCCAAUGGAUAGAGAGGGACAGAAGAGGCAACAUAAUUCCCCAGAGACCUGGACUAAGAAGGCUUCAAGCCAUGUUUCCAGUACCAGUACCCAUCCUCCUGCAGUACCAUGCUCCUGCACCUAUCCCCACAAGAUUCAGACUCCCUGAUGCAGGACCUACAGGAGCUGAUGGGGAGUUUCAUGGGGCCAGAUUGUCACGUAACCCCAAAGGUGACUUGGGCAGAGAGGCAGACACAAGUUGGGGGAAAGGAUUGAGGCAAUGGUGGACAGCAUGCUCUCUGCUGAAGGUACUGUGUUGGGCCAGUGUCAGUAUUGAAACAGUGAGGAUAGCCUGUCCAGGCAUCGUCUCUGUGCCGCAUGUGACAUAGCCACCCAUAGCACCAAGGUUUU